rfam:Cyberlindnera jadinii NRRL Y-1542 unplaced genomic scaffold CYBJAscaffold_4, whole genome shotgun sequence.
GGCAACCUGGCCGAGUGGUCUAAGGCGCCAGGUUAAGGUCCUGGUCUCUUCGGAGGCGCGAGUUCGAACCUCGCGGUUGUCA